rnacentral:rRNA from 1 species
UGGGGAAUUUUGCACAAUGGGCGGAAGCCUGAUGCAGCGACGCCGUGUGGGGGAUGAAGGCCUUCGGGUUGUAAACUCCUUUCGUCAGGGACGAAGUUUGUUUGACGGUACCUGGAUAAGAAGCACCGGCUAACUACGUGCCAGCAGCCGCGGUAAUACGUAGGGUGCGAGCGUUGUCCGGAUUUACUGGGCGUAAAGGGCUCGUAGGUGGUGUGUUGCGUCGUCUGUGUAAUCAAGGGGCUUAACUUUUGGUUGGCAGGCGAUACGGGCAUUGCUUGAGUGCUGUAGGGGAGACUGGAAUUCCUGGUGUAGCGGUGAAAUGCGCAGAUAUCAGGGGGAACACCGAUGGCGAAGGCAGGUCUCUGGGCAGUUACUGACGCUGAGGAGCGAGAGCAUGGGUAGCGAACAGG